GUAAAAAUUAGGGGAUCAAUUGCGAAAAUGGUCCAUUUUGAAGAAAUAAAUGGAUGCUGCCGUUUUUCAAAUCAAAUAAACCCCUUUUCUCAAAUCCUAAAAAAUAAUUUCCCUCUGCCAUUCCCAAAAUGUGCCGCAGCAGCACCUCUGCUCUCCAUCAUUUUCGACCCACUUUGCUCCGACAACCGCGAAACGAAAGGGUUUUCCAACGCCGCCGCGACGAAACACUAGAGGAGACGUGUAUAACGUCUGAGGCUACUGAACGCGAGAGAAGCGACGUGGGGCAACAUUCGCGGAGGCAUGCGAGGGAGUCGUGCAGCACGUCCUAGGGUUUCUGCCUCAUUUGCCAAAAACAUCUUGUGGGACAAUUGGGCCAAUUUCUGCUGUUUGGGCUAAGCUAUUGGGCCGAUUGGGUUAUUUGUAAAAAUAGACUGUUUAUUGUAUUUGUUAUUUUAAGGUUUAUACAUUUGGGCCCGGGCUAAAAUGGCCUAUUACAGCAUCAUCAUUUGAUCCUAAAACAGUCUUUUACUCUCAAUAACUUACCCGGAAAGUAA